rnacentral:rRNA from 1 species
UACGUAGGGGGCAAGCGUUGUCCGGAUUUAUUGGGCGUAAAGAGCGUGUAGGCGGCCAUACAGGUCCGUUGUGAAAACUCGAGGCUCAACCUCGAGACGCCGAUGGAAACCAUGUGGCUAGAGUCCGGAAGAGGAGAGUGGAAUUCCUGGUGUAGCGGUGAAAUGCGCAGAUAUCAGGAAGAACACCCGUGGCGAAGGCGGCUCUCUAGUACGGUACUGACGCUGAGACGCGAAAGCGUGGGGAGCAAACAGG